rnacentral:lncRNA from 1 species
CUUUUGCACAAUACAUUUAAUAUACAUACACUAACAACUAUUUAUACAUUAAACACAGCAAGUUUAACAAGCUGCCCUAGCUUGACAUCAUUUGUAAUUAUUUGUUUGCAAAGAAACGAUAAUUACUUAAGAAUCACAUAUUUACUAAACCAUUAUAUAUAUAUUUCAUGAGAACAUUUAUAUAAGUAAGUAUAAACCUUUAUGAGUGAUUGUUUUGAUUUAAUGUAGGAAUUGUGUUAUCUGUGUCUGUAGACCUUCGUAUGAACAUAGUUAUGUGAGGUGCAUUACAUUAAAGAAAAUACCCAUCUAAACUUUUCCUAAAAUACUAACGUAAAACAAUGAAGAUAUACAUUUUUUUGCUUUCUAAUAGCCAAGUAGAAGAGAAGAGGAGCACAAAGCGUAACACCUACCAUGCAUAAAGACGGCGGUGAAGGAACGAAGGAAAAGCAAAUCUAUUUUACAUUGAAUACACCAUGUAUCUUUUCAAAAACAGAAUAUUCAAGAAUAUCAUUUUUCAAUGUGGGGUAAUAGCUGCUUGAUCCAAGGAUAAAUCUGACUGCCAUUCUGGGGUCAAGAAGGAAUUUUUUUCUCCUAAAUUGUUGCAAAAUUGGAAGUGCUUCAAACUGUUUUUUUUUUUUUUACCUUCUUUUGGAUCAACAGCAAAAAACAAAUGUGAGGAAGGCUGAACUUGAUGGACGCAAGUCUCUUCAGCUAUUUAACUAUGAUAUAUGGUGCAUUCAAUAUAUAUAUAUUUAAGCAAUUUAAGGUGAUUUAAUGCAUCAUAACAGGUUCACCUUAAAUAUUUGGGUACCUGCAUUCACCUGUCAAUCAAACGGAUUGAGGUAAAAGGACGAGCAGUAAAACACUUGUAAAUGCUUUUUUUCUGCUCACCAUUACGGUGCUCUCUUUUCAAAACUUCCCUGAGGAAUAUAGGAAUGGAGUAACACAUUUCACUCUGAUCCAAUAACAAUGCGCAGGCACUGUAGCCAUCAUGCUAGUGUCAUGGAAGAGGAAUAUCUUGCUUGAAGAUGUGUGUUACAUUACUGUAACCCCUAUGAAUCUGCAGUGAUGGUGGCACUGUAUAUAGCAUAUAUUUAUGGCUCUAGGAGCAGUUAUAGAAUCAGGUUAACCUGUUUUUACAGACUCACUAUAAUGAGAUCACCAUUAACACAUAUGCACUACCAACUCUUUUAUUGCUAGAAUACCUAUUUUUUUUAAAUAUUAAUUUUGUUUAUUAAAAGGCAAAAGAGACACAUUUAUUUUGUGCACACAUAAUUGGCUAUAUAUGUCUUGAUAAUGUAAGAGACAAUAUAUUUAACUUCUUUAUCGUAGAAUAUAGGGCUGUUAAGGUACUUUAUCAAAUUCCAUGCAAAGUAGGAUAAUGCACAAAUGAUUAGCAAUGGAAGCUGUUUGUUUAUUUUUGUUUUUUUUUAAUUUACCAGCUUAUAUUACCAGUUUAAAAUAAUAUUUAAAAAAUUACUAAUAAUAAAACUACUAAAAUUCGAGAAAAAGAAACUCAAACCAUUCACAUUAAUAAACUGAAGAUGAACAAUAUAAAUUCAACAUUUAAUUUUUUUCACAGCACAUACCUCUGGGUUAGAAGUCUUUUUAAAUAUUGAAUAAACAUAUAUCUGAUUUACUUUACUGUUAUAGCCUAUAGCUCUCAACUGUAUACAUUCACCAUGGUCCAUAAUAUAGUUUAUUAACUUUGCUUCACCUGUAAUAAAAUGUGAGAUAUUACUUUGGAAAACAUUUUUUCUGUUUUGUUCCAAUUCCGAAUCCUCAAAUUGCUCCUAGGAAUCACUAAAUCUUAAAGCUUAAAGGGACACUAGAGUCACCAAAACAACUUCAGUUUUAUGAAAGUUUUGGUGUAUAACUCAUGCCUCUGAGGUUUCACUGCUCAGUUCAAUGCCAUUUAAGAGGUAAAUCACUUUUAAAGGACCACUAUAGUGCCAGGAAAACAUACUCAUUUUCCUGGCACUAUAGUGCCCUGAGGGUGCCCCCACCCAGGGCUGCCAUCAGAAAUGUUGGGGCCCCUGACACAGCUCAAGGUCUUGGCCCCCCGGUGCCUGCACCCGAGUCCGCCCAAAGUGCUGCCCCCCCCCGAAUCCGCCCACAGGGAUGCAGUGUCUGCAGGACCGGUGCAAGGAUUUUUGCCGCCCUAGGCAAAAGUAAAGUUUGCCGCCCCCCAUGUGACAUCACAAUGCCCCACCCAUAUGAUCUGCCAUGUUAACUAACACCAGUGCUGCGGUGUUUGCAUUAAAAGGCCUGCAGGGACAGGCUAGACACCAGAACCACUACAUUAAGCUGCAGUGGUUCUGGGGACUAUAGUGUCCCUUUAAUGUGAGGUAAAUUAGAGAUUAGUGCCAUGAAUAAUAUACUAGAUUGCCUACUUACAACCAGAUGAGGAUGAUGAUGGGCUCUAGCUGCCGUCUGGCUCCACUGGUCUGGUGUACAACAGGCUCUCUGGAGGCGGUUUGUAACUGUGGUCACAAAAAUCACUGUUCUGGGAGAACGGGAAGCAGCUCCAUUUUUUUGAGGGCCCUUUACACAGCUCAAAGUCUGGGUCCCAGGGUCCACCUUCAUGUUUCACCAAUGAGUUUGUUCACAGGGAGUGGAGUGUGUGUGUGGGGGAUGUCCUGAUGUGUGUAAGGAAUGCAUUGUGUGAAUCUGUGUUUGUAUGUGUAAGGGCUGCAAGAUGAGUUUGUGUAUGUAUGGGAUGCAGUGUGUGCGUCUGUAAGGGAUGCAUUGAGUGUUGCUGUGUGUUAAGGGAUGCAUUGCUUGUGUACGUGUGUCUGUGUGUAAUGCAUUGUGUGUUUUUCUGUGUGCAAGGUGUGCAUUGUGUGUGAUGGAUGUCAAUCUCUCCCCCUCCCCCCGUCAAUUUCCUUCUCCCCUCCCUCCCUCUCUCCAAUUUCCUUCUUCUCCCCCUCCCUCUCCAAUUUCCUUCUUCCCCCCUCCAAUUUCCUUCUUCUCCCCCUCCCUCUCUCCAAUUUCCUUCUUCCCCCUCCAAUUUCCUUCUUCUCCCUCUCAUUUCCUUCUCUCCCCCGUCCCUCAAAUUUCCUUCCCCUCCUCCCGUCCCUCAAAUUUCCUUCCUCUCCCCGUCCCUCAAAUUUCCUUCCUCUCCCCCGUCCCUCAAAUUUCCUUCCUCUCUCCCUCCCUCAAAUUUCCUUCCUCUCCNNNNNNNNNNNNNNNNNNNNNNNNNNNNNNNNNNNNNNNNNNNNNNNNNNNNNNNNNNNNNNNNNNNNNNNNNNNNNNNNNNNNNNNNNNNNNNNNNNNNCUCGUCUCUGGACUCAGUGCCAGAGGUGUCAGGGCAGCUUACACGAAGAUGUUUUAUGCACUAGGUAAGUGGAUCCAUUGCUUUAUACCGUCCAGGGCAUUUGUCCUUGUAAUCUAAACUACCGUAUUUUUCGCUCCAUAAGACGCACUUUUUUCCCCCUCAAAAGUGAGGGGAAAUGUCUGUGCGUCUUAUGGAGCGAAUGUAAAGCUUUACUUACCUGUCUUGGAGCGUGGGCCGGCUUCACAGCGCGCUCCGCGGUCCAGGAACUUCUAUUUCAGGUUCCGGUUUCCGGCGGGACUGAAAGGAAGUGCACACUCAGUGUGCACACUUCCUUUCAGUCCUGCCGGAAACCGAACUGAAAUAGAAGUUCCGGACCGCGGAGCCGCUUGCAUCGCCCACGCCCAAGACAGGUAAGUAACGAUGGACAAGGGGAGGGGGAGACACUAUGGGACGAGGGGGAGACAUUAUGGGAGAAAGGGAGGGGGAGACACUAUGGGAGAAAGGGAGGAGGAGACACUAUGGGACAAGGGGAGGGGGAGACACUAUGGGAGAAAGGGAGGGGGAGACACUAUGGGACAAGGGGAGGGGGAGACACUAUGGGACAAGGGGAGGGGGAGACACCAUGGGACAAGGGGAGGGGGAGACACCAUGGGACAAGGGGAGGGGGAGACACCAUGGGACAAGGGGAGGGGGAGACACCAUGGGACAAGGGGAGGGGGAGACACCAUGGGACAAGGGGAGGGGGAGACACCAUGGGACAAGGGGAGGGGAGACACUAUGGGAGAAGGGGAGGGGGACACACUAUGGGAGAAGGGGAGAGUGAGACUAUGGGAGAAGGGGAGGGUGAGACUAUGGGAGAAGGGGAGGGGGAGACAUUAUGGGAGAAGGGGAGGGGGAGACACUAUGGGACAAGGGGAGGGGGAGACACUAUGGGACAAGGGGAGGGGGAGACACUAUGGGACAAGGGGAGGGGGAGACACUAUGGGACAAGGGGAGGGGGAGACACUAUGGGACAAGGGGAGGGGGAGACACUAUGGGACAAGGGGAGGGGGAGACACUAUGGGACAAGGGGAGGGGAGACACUAUGGGACACACUAUGGGACAAGGGCAGGGGGGGACACUAUGGGAGGGAAAGUGCACUAUGGGACAAUGGGAGGGGGGGACACUAUGGGAUCAGAACACUAAUGGACAAAGGGAGGAGGGGUUAAAGAACACUAUGGGACAGGGUAGGAGGGGUUAAAGAACACUAUGGGACAGGGGAGGAGGGGUUAACAAUCACUAUGGGACAGAGGAAAGGGGGGUUAAAGAUCAUUAUGGGACAGGGGAGAAAAAAAAAUAUUCUGAACAAACUGUCCCAUAGUAAGAAACACUAUGGAACAGUUUGUUCAGAAUAUUUUUUUUUUCUGGGUUUCCUCCUCUAAAAACUAGGUGCGUCUUAUGGUGAGGUGCGUCUUAUGGAGCGAAAAAUACGGUAAGUGGUGCCCUUUUAAUAUUUUAGACUAAUACUUGCCUGCAAGUCACUCUGAUAACCAACCAUUGUUUUCACUUCACGGUUCCAUUCUAACUACCACAAAAUUCAUGCCGUAUAUAAGAAUUGAACUGAUUAGAUUAACCCCUUAAGGACUGGACUGUUUUUGCGAUGUUGUACAUUUGCGACCAGGCAUAUUUUUACACUUUUGUGGUGUUUGUGUUUAGCUGUAAUUUUCUGCUCUCUCAUUUACUGUUCCCAUUCAAACUAUAUAUUGUUUUUUUCAGGACAAAAGGGGUUUUCUUUACAUACCAUUAUUUAUAUAAUCUCAUGUAAUUAAAUUUUUCUUAAAAUUAAAAAAUGUGAUGAAAAAUUGAAAAAUAUACAUUUUUUUACUUUUACGUGAAAAAUAUUUUACUCAUCUACAAAAGCGAAUGAAAAAAACGGCUAAAUAGAUUCAAAAUAUUGUCCUGAGUUUAAAAAUACGUGCUUUUUUGCUAUUUUUUUUGCAUGUUAUAGGGUUAUAAGUACAAGUAGGAUAUUGCGGUUUCAAAACAUAAAUUUUUAAAAUGUAUCAAUAGUGACAUUGUAACACUAUUAUCUGUCAUAAAUCUAUGUCAUAAAUAUAUAUAUAAUUGUUGUUAGCGCGACAUGUAGCGCAAAUGCCAGGUUUUGUUUACAUUUUUGUUUCGUUCACAACGUGUACAUUUGGCUCAGUCCUUAAGGGGUUAAAAAUACCCAGUGUUUACAUGCUUUGUUGCUAUUUUUUGCAUGUUAUAGGGCUAUAAGUACAAGUAGGCUGUUGUGGUUUCAAAACAUACAUUUUUAAAAUUUAUCAAUAGUGACAUUGUAACACUGUCAUAAAUCUCUGAAUAACACCCCACAUGUACAUAUUUUUUUUAAAGUAGACAACCCAGGGUAUUCAAUAUGGGGAAUGUCCAGACUUUUCUAGUAGCCACUUAGUCGCAAACACUGGCCAAAGUUAGCGCUCAUAUUUGUUUGUGUGUGAAAAAAGUAAAAAACUAAAUUGAACGCUAAUUUUGGCCAGUGUUUGUGACUAAGUGGUUACUAAAAAAGACUGGACAUACCCCAUUUGCAAUACCUUGGAUUGUCUUCUUUUGCAAAUGGUAUGCCAUCAUGGAAGUAAUUCUCAUUCCUAGGCUACUAUACGCUCUCAAAGGCAACAUAACCAACCUGGCUAUUUUCAAUAUAAAAAUAUUUGACCCAUAUAUUUGACCCUGUAACUUUCAGAAAUGCUAUAAAACCUGUACAGUGGGGGUACUGUUAUUCUCAGGAGACUUUGCUGAACACAAAUACUAGUGUUUCAAAACUGGAAAACAUAUCACAACAAUUAUAUCAUCAGUAAAAGUGCUGUCUGUGUGUGAAAAAUGCAAAAAAAGUCACUUCCACUGACAAUAUCAUUGUUGUGAUAUGUUUUACUGUGUUGAAUCAGGUUUUAGGGUGUCGUAGAACGUUACAGGGUAAAAUACAGUGCUAGCAAAUUAAAUUCUCUGGACUUUCAGCCUGGGUUGGCAGGCAGGUCCCUUAAAUUGCAAUCAAUAAAAUUACUUAAUUAUGUAAAAAUAUUACAUAAAUACGCACGUAGAAUUUAAAUAUAUAUGCAUAUUUAUAUAUUUGUCUACAUGUAUAUUUAUAUAAUUAUUUAUGUAAUUUUGUAUAUAUCGUAUUAUUUUUAUUUAUUUAUAUAUACAUAGAUAUAUAUACAAUUUUAUUCUAACUGUAUUUUGAUAUAAAUAUAUAUAUAUAUUAAUAUCAAAAUACAGUUAGAAUAAAAUAUCAUAUAGAUAUAUAAUUGUUUUAAAAAAAUUUAUUAUUAUUUUUACAUUUUUUUAUUUAAUUUAAAUUACUUAUUUGUAUUUGAUAAUAAUAUAUAUAUAUAUAUACAAUAUAUAUAGUUAUUAUAUAUAUUAUAUAUAUAUGUGUGUAAUUUAUUUAUAAGUGUAUUUUUAUAUUAAUAUAUGUACAUAUUAAUAUAAAAAUACACUUAGUAUGACAUUAUAUAUGUGUUAAGGCCGUUUGGCCUGUAUUUGUGGGAGGGGCUUAAAUUAAUUCACUCCCCUAUAUAAGGGACACCCCUUACCUGACUCAUAUCGCUUGAGGUCAGCAUCAGAAUGAUUUCCACUUCCGGGUCAUCCUGACGCCAUUUUACCUGAUUACUCCGUGAGGUUUUCUAAGCUGAGCUGUGUCAGGAAUCCAGCCUACAGGCUUUUCUGGCCUACCACCUUCUUUCUUCAAUCUAUCGCUGUGUAUGGUGUCCAAGUGACUCACAAACUGUAAGUUGACCUACCCGUUACGCCAGGCAUUAAUCCCACGGGUCAGGUCCUCACUUUACGGCUGCAUUUUGUCUAAAUCUGUGCUAAAACCAUUGCAUGUUCAUACAUAUCAUUCGUUUAAAUUCACUUGUUUAUAUCUGUCACUGGCUCAUUUCGAGCAUUAGCAUACUCCCAAACAGGAACACAUUCUGUUUCAAUUGCCUAAACAUAAUUCUAUGCGUGCAUUUCAAAUCUCACUGCUCGUUUCGUUUUGUUUCCCUGACAUACCAGGCUCACGGUUUGUGCAAUUUUCUACCAAACGGGAACUAGUUCAUGCAUUUACUAUUGUACUACACACACGUUUCGUGCGUUUACAACCCAUGAAAAGAACUUUGGUUUGUUACAAUGACUGUUAUUAAGCUAUUAUGUUCACUUAUUGUAUAUUGUCAAACGGGCACUGUUUGUUUCACUGUCAUACAACUAUAAUGCUGGAGCAUAGCUCACGAACAAUGUUUCACAUAAACCACACUGACCCCUACAGUUCACUCUCAAAUCUCACGUUAACAUAGAAACAUAGAAACAUAGAAUGUGACGGCAGAUAAGAACCAUUUGGCCCAUUUAGUCUGCCCAAUUUUCUAAAUACUUUUACUAGUCUAUUAUAGCUAGGAUAGCCUUAUGCCUAUCCCACAUAUGCUUAAACUCCUUCACUGUGUCAACCUUUACCACUUCAGCUGGAAGGCUAUUCCAUGCAUCCACUACCCUCUCAGUAAAGUAAUACUUCCUGAUAUUAUUUUUAAACCUUUGUCCCUCUAAUUUGAUUAUCAGGCUCAAUACCAUACUACCAGGUACGUACACCUGCUCACAUAGUUAUCCAUCUCUUACCUUCCCUGGAAUAGUAAUAGUGUACUGGCAAUAAGGGUUCUAGGGCCCAGUAGGUAUUACCCCCUUUUUUCUCUGCAUUAUGCUUCGGUUAGUGGUCCCGCGUGGCCAACACCCCGCCUCACACUCGGAGGCAUACCCCUCUCGGGCCACUCGUGAGCUAGGCCGCCUCGCAUUGUAUCAUAGAGAGGGCCUCACCUGUCACUCCCCUUCCUAUUUUUCUGGUUACUGUCACCGAGAGGCCAACAUCCUGCCACAACGUUCGGUGGCCACACAAAAUGCCCUUGCGCCAAGCAUAGAUAGAGCCUCUCAAGCCACUUGGCAAUUAGCAGGGCCUCACCAGUCACCAAAAAACACCAAGCCUAAUCGUUUUGCCUUACGGCUUAGCUAGCAAGCCGGUACAAGACCCCUGGGUGCAAAUAUAUAAUUGCAAUCUUUAUUGUUAUUUAAGUAUUUCUCAGAAAGAUGGUAAAGAAUCACCUCUUCCUAGAACCCCGGCUAGAAGUGAUACACCUUCAUCUCUUACCUUCCCUGGAAUAGUAGUAAUGUACUGGCAAUUAGGGUUCUAUGGCUCAAUAGGUAUUACCCCCUGUUUUCUCUGCUUUAUGCUUCGGUUAGUGGUCCCGCGAGGCCAACACCCCUCCUCACACUCGGAGGCAUACACCGCUCGGGCCACUCGUGAGCUAGCUGCCUUACAUUGUAUCAUAGAGAGGGCCUCACCUGUCACUCCCCUUCCUAUUUUCUGGUUACUGUCACCGAGAGGCCAACAUCCUGCCACAACGUUCGGUGGCCACGCUACUGUACAACCAGCACCAACCGAAACUCGGUUACCUGGUACAAUCAAUUCUUGGUACAAGACGUUAACCCUGCACAUAUGAUCCUGGCACAUUGGGGAAACAAGGCAUAAAUAUGUAUGAUGAUGUAUCUAUGAUGGUCAGACCCAGGGAUUCCAGGUAAAUCGGGAACUGACCAUCCCUUGGUUGUGUUGGCAUUUGGAAUAUGUAGAGAUGCUUAUUUGUGCAGGUACCCAUACAGAAGGGAUUUUCUCCCAAACAAACGGACGAGCACUCUCAGGCUCCAGGUACCAGCACCUCUGAACUCCCAGAGACAAUUGGUAUGAGCAGUUGCAUUGCAUAUAGACUGUUGCAUAUAUGUUCGAAUCAUUCAGGGCACAUGACAAACCAUGUGUCCCAAUACAACUUACAAAUAACGUACUCCCCAUCUGUACACACCAAUGCAUUUUCAACACUACUGACUCAUCACCCUUCCAGACUUGUAGUAGUUUUACUAAAGCUCUGGAGCUUCAAAGGGCUCCCAUACAGGUAUCAUAAAUACACCUUCAAGGAAUAUAGCAUGCCCUCACUUACAGUCAGCACAACAGAACCGUCGGCUGUAAACACACUCAUAGCCAAGAUUUGCAGAGGGGUUUUUACUUGGGUUUUCCAAUCUCCACCAUUUACAGCAUGGCACCAAACACAAACACAUUGGUAUUGUCACAAGGGAAUCUUCCCUUAAACAAAGACUAACCAUAGACUUAUUGGCACCACACACCUUCGCUACCCCAAGUCUCAACUCCCUCAUACCCUCCAAGGAGUUUCCUUACUAUACACACCAUUUAUCUACCUUUACAGCUAUCACUCAAGCAUGGGUUGAAGCUUGGUUAAGUAAGACCAAUAUCAUCAACACAGUAAACGGCUACAAUCUACCCUACACACUGGCACUUACAUGGCAUAAAAUGGGCAAUCCUUUCCCCGCUAAAAGCAGCUGCUGUGGCAUGGGGUAAAUCAUGGUCAGGGUCAUCAAUCCGUUGUUACUCAGACAACUAAGCACAUGUCAUAUUAUCAACAAAUGCCACUCAUCAUCCAUACGAUCAUGGUAUUGCUGGGGAACUCACUUGGUUGGCCACUUAUUAAAUUUCUUUUACUUUCAUGUACCAGGCAGGGGUAUACAUCUCUGCCGACAAUUGUCUCAUUUAUAUUCCAGGCAUGUUCAUCAUACGCUUCCUACAGCCGCCCAUACAGUCACGGCCACUCUUUCGUUCCAGAGCCAAAAUCAUGGAUUAGACAUACUCAUGCAGCAUAGCAUGCACUAUCCCACCUAGCACUUUCAUCCCAUACUUGUAGAACGCAUAACACAGCUAUUCACCUGGCUUUAAAGAAUCUCAUUGGAACACAACAUAGCUCAACCUGUGUCAUAACAUUUCUAGGUUUUGCUUCAUUUUUGCCACCUUAAACUAAAACCAUCUCACACACCAUUAAUUAUAUAUUUUACAGGCAUUCAACAACACAGGAUAACCUAUGGCCAAAACUACCAUAACUUCAUGCUAUCAUACCAGACAAGAAUAUACUCAGAGGUUUUCAGGAAUCCAUUCCCCCACGUUCCUCUCAGAGAUUACCAAUAGCCAUCCAACUUUUCCAUCCUUAUCGGACCUAUUAGAGCUACAACCAUUCAAUUAUACUACCAAGUUGGCCAUUACCAGCCAUGUACACUGCCUUUUAUGCCUUUCUCAGGCCAGAGAAUCCACUACCAUAACCACCACUCAGACAGAUCAUUGUCUUCAACGAUCCCACGUAUGUAAACACAUAUAUCAUUACCUAUUGGCUCUACCACAUUCCGAAACGAGUCAACACGCACCAACAAUAGAGAUAACAUACUAUCCUACCCACAACAAAUGGUGUCCAGUUGCGGUCCUAGAUUCCUACCUUCAAAAUCCUUACAGGAAUUAAAUACCGUAAUGCAUUUAAGGAAAUGUCUGGUUAAUUUGUAUAUAUUGUUGACUGUAUUAAAUCUUUGAUUAUUCUUUUUUGCCCUCUUUAUUUACAGGCCUCCCUUUAUACUACCCUACGCUUAUGCUGGAACCUUACUCCAUAUACGGCUAUUUGCCCCUUACACAAGUGUUAAGGCCGUUUGGCCUGUAUUUGGGGGAGGGGCUUAAAUUAAUUCACUCCCCUAUAUAAGGGACACCCCUUACCUGACUCAUAUCGCUUGAGGUCAGCAUCAGAAUGACCCUCCCACCCACUCCUCAUUUCAACACUUUCUCUUUUCUUUCCAUUUACUUUACUUACUUACUCCUUAGCGGGCCCUCUUUAUUUACAGGCCUACCAUAUCAUCGGUCUCGGUCCCCCUGCAGGCAGACACAUGAACACCUAUUGUGACCUAUUGUGACCGUGUGAACGCUCUGUUGAGCGAUCACAUGGCCACAGGGGUCCUAAUCCAGUGUGGGGAGACUGUCUGGGCUGCAGGCAGUCUCCCCACACCAAGAGCAACGCCGAUCGCCGCCGGGGGAUAGACGGCGAUCGGAUAAGUAACUAAGACCGUUAGGACGGUUGAGGACAGUCAGCGGUCGGCAAUGUAAAAAUGCUGAUGACUGUCCUCGGUCCUUUAGGGGUUAAAUUAAGGGAUGGUUAUUAAAAUAAAAACAAACAUAUCAAUAAAAGAAGGGAGGGGUCAGAGGUCAGUCAGAAAUCAGAGGGGAAAUAGAGGAAUGCAUGUAGGUGAAUAAAACAAUUACAUACAGGGCUAGCAAAACUACACUUUAGCAUGACAGACAAGAUAUAAAUACAAGAAAAUAUACAAUGCACACAGGAUAUAUUAAAUACAAUAAAUGUACAGGGUGGUUAAAUUAAAUAUAAAUAAUGGUCUUAGUGUUGUCUUCCAGAAGGCUACCUUGCUUAUUGCAGACGAUCAGCUGAUGGAGCACAGACUUUCUUACAGCAGUAUUGGGGUGUGAUAGUUUUGAAAUCUUUUGAGCACAAUUGUAUUUAAACCCCUAUUGUUUUUGCCUAGGUGGGGUGUUUUUAAAUAAAAUUGUUACAUGCUGUGCUAUUUGAAAUUGCUGUCUACUGAAUGAGUGAGCGCGCUGGAUCUUGUAUGUUUUGUUGUGUGUGUAUAUGUAUAUAUAUGAGUAUAUGAGUGUGUGUAUAUAUAUAAGCAAAAAUAGAGAGAUGCACUCACAGGACUUUACAAGUGAAAAAAAGAGAUUUAUUCCAAUAGGUAUAACAUCAAAAAAUAGCCGACGUUUCGACCCAUUCGGGUCUUUCUCAUGGUCAAUGUACCUAGAUAUGAAAGUGAUAUAUAUAAGAAAUAAGGUAGUGUACUCACCAAUAGUGAAGAAAACCCCUGAUUCCCUUUGUGUGAACCCGGAAGUGAAACCGGACGUAAAGACCCGCGGUCGUGGUAUGCGUGAUGACUUGUGUUGCUAAGAUACCAAUAAACAAGAAAGGUUAUAAGAUCAGUAUGAUAAUAUCAAAGUGUGUGCCGGGUUUUCAAGUGAAAUGUAGAAUGAAUGUACUACCAAUAAAGAGUAUAUAUACUCACAGGGAAGAUGUACUUAUAAGUGAAAUGUGAAUGAAGUGUCAAAAAUGUGAAAAAAAUAUAAAAAAAUUGUGACAUCAUGCAAACUGUGAAGAGUGCCAAUACAUUCCCAGUAAAAGGACAAGAAGAAAAGCUGUGUGUACAUUAAAAACAUUUCACAUAUCAUGGCAAGAUUCUGGACAAAUUAUAUGAUAAUUACAUUAAAGAGGAAGCACAAAGCUAUUAAGGCUCAACAUCAAAAACUGAGAUAUAACCAUGGACAUGCCAACGAGGAGAUGAAAUAGAAUUGGAAAUAAGGAAGGCAGACUAUGUAUGUAAAGAAUAGAGUGUAAACAAGAAACAUAUUAUCUACAUGUAUAAGAAAAGAAAGAUGUUGACACAGAAUAAUGGACCAUAUAUAUAUAUAUAUAUAUAUAUAUAUAUAUUACACUCAAAUUAUGCACAGAAAAGUUAGUAAGAAGUUCAGCAAACUUCUGGAAUGCCCCUUUAAGUAUUUCUCAUUUGGAUGAAAUAUUAGACCUAUGUAUCAUUGGUAAAUUAGCUAGGACUGUGUGGAGGAGGAAUGGAAUGCUGAACUCUGAUAAAAAUAUCAUCUGUUUUCUCAAGAAAUAGUACAUUUCCCCAUGCAGGGAACCAAAUGGUUUCUGGUUAGACCUUUAGUCAAACAAGAAAUGUAUGCAUCAUCAUCACAAAAGUAUUUUUAGCCUGCAGCUGCUGACCUUAUCAGUGAUUCAAAGCAUAGGGUGUUGAUAAUAUGCUGUAUAUGGGAAUGGAAGUAUUCUGAGUUAAAAUUGGUGUUAAGUGAUAAAACGCUUGACAGUUUGAAUAUCUAUCAGAUUUAAAAAUAAAUAGUUUGUGAGCUGGUUUCCCCACAUUUGCUUAAUUCUCUCAAACAUGCUAUCACUGUAUAAAAUGCAUGAAGUGUUGAUAGAUGGGUAUGCAAAGCUUUAAGAGCUGGACAGUCAAUAUGCAUUUGUCAAGGAAAAAAUAGAUUCCUCUGUUUUUACACAGCCGCUAGUUUAGCUAACAUUGAUGAUAUUCUGGAAAAGGAGGUCAGAUGUGUAUGUAGCAUGUAAAUCUAUUUAAAGAAAAUUAAGUCUUAUAAUUAUUAUGAGCUAUCCAACUCAUAAUGGUUCCAAUACUAUCCCUGCAGAGAUUUCCAUGAGGAAACCGGUACACAGGAGAACCAGUACUUAUCACCUCCCAGUGGAUUUUCCAUUAAUAUAGUUAUGUGAUCUCUGUAGUUCAAGAUACUCAGCUGGGUGGGUUAUGUGUUAACAGAGUUUUUGAGAACAACAGACUAGAUAUAUUAUAUGUGCAUAUAAUGCUUGAUCUAUUUUUUUCAAACCCCUUUCUGCUGGGUCACCUAUUUUGUUAAAACCACUUUCUGUUCAUCAGUCUAGUCAUGAUUAUUUGCAUUUUUGCUGUGCACAAAUUGUAAAGCAUCAGAAGCAUCUAACCUAUUUAUCUCUAAUUUGAACAAUUAAAGGGUUACUCCAACCACCAUGUCCCCUUCAGUGAUUUGAAGUGGUCAUGGCAGUUGCCGUUUUGCUUGAAAGGCUGCACAUUCAGAGAUGUAUUACCUUUGGUGUAUGGGGCUGGUUACAUGCUAGUCAAUACUGUUCAAUCACUUAUUAAGAAGUGGAAAAUUCGGAGAUCUCUUGAUACUAAGCCACGGUCAGGUAGACCAAAAAAGAUUUCAGCCACAACUGCCAGAAGAGAUAAUACAAAGAGAUGGGGUAGGGCUGUGCCAGCAGAAAAAUAAAAUAACGUAAAAUAGUUUAAAAGAGUCCCACUAGAGCGACAAUGCUUGAUGUGAUAUAGAUGAGUAGACUUUUCAGUAGCGGUGGGUGCGUCCUAAUGUCUCAGGGUAUUCGCAUAUGUGAAAAACAGAAGAAACAGGGGCAGCCAGUAGUGCAAUACGUCUAAAAUCCAAAGGGAAAAAUAGUAUGUAUUAUGUAUAUUAUAUAUAUUAAUUGGGUCCACGAUCUGGCCCACGUUUUACCACAUCCUCAGAUACUAGUUAGAGCAUCUCAAGCCACUUGGCAACUAGCAGGGCCUCACCUGUCACCCUUUUAGUGGAAAUUUUCCAUGUUUGGCAAUAGCUAGCCUGCCAGUACCAGUUUGGUUUUACACUAAUGGUAAGUUUAUAUUUCAGUAUGUCUCAGGUUCCCAAAUAUAGGAUGUGUAUUGCUCUGUCUAUGCCAAGAAAUUAGAGGAACUGGAUGUGUAUAUGCACAAGCUGGGGAUCUGUGGCACAAGUACGGUGGUAUGGCAUUCUAUGAUUACCACUGUUCUUUUUCAUCAAAAGUGGCUGCAACUCUGACUCAGUUUAACUUCAGUAUGCAUUGGAGUAGACUAGAUACAGAGCUAUUCUGCAGACACUUUGCAGGCCUCAGGCUCGUGCAGUUUGCACAUCCACGCCACACUCGACGAAUUUGCGCCCUAACAUGGCAGAAGUCUCUCUGGGCUACGCGGUUCCUUACACACUUGCAAAAUCUGGUAAGGUAGUUAAGGAUAAGCUGGGUAGGGACAUUGUUUUUUUUGGGCAAGUCCCAAAUGUGCAAUCAUUUUAAGGUGAGUACUUGCGGUUUCUGUGCUUGCAGUUUAUUACACGUUUGUUCCUACUGCUUCUGGACUCAUGCCAAGUCUAGGUGCCCAAAUACAAUGUUCCCUAAAACCUACAUUAAAGGUAUUAAUGUUAUGUGUUUAGCUGAACUAUUUAUGGUACCAACCCUCGCAACAAUUGGUUAGCGUUCUCUUUGAGUGGUUAUUGCAGGGGUUUCACGAUAGUAUCAUACACUUGCCAUCUGAUAUACUGGAAUGCAAUAAUUUGCAAGCAGCGCUAGCAGAUCCAGAAUCAGUGGAUAAUUUAUAAAGACUAAGUUGGAACAGGGAAUUGUUUUCGGGCCUUUUAGGUCUCCUCCUUUUACUUCUUUGGGGGACAAAUCCUAUUGGUAUAGUCACUGGUAAAUCUUCACAUAAUCACAGAUUGAUCGUUGACCUAUCAGCUCCACAUUCCUCCACGGUUCCUCUGAAGGUUUCUUCUUGCAAUGUUACACCAUGGACAAUGCCAUCUGUGCCAUUCUUGAAACUGGGGCGGGCGCAUGGCUCAAUAAAUCUGAUAUUGUUAUAUGCGUUCAAACUAUUUGCUAUUCACCCCUCACUGUGGCAUCUGCAUGGCAUUAAGUGGCAGAGUUUAUAUUAUCUUCUCCCAGCAUACGUUCAGUUCCAAGGUAGCCCCAAGAUAUUUGAUAUUUUGCGGAAACCUUGUGCUGGUUGCUACUUGAUGUGUGCAGAUGCCCGACUGUUACACACUAUUUAGACGAUUUCCACAUAAUUGAAGACAACUUCCAAUCCCCUCUCUGUCUCACAGUAGCAAUCGGUCUUUUUAAAUCCCUAGGUAUACCAAUCUCCCCUAAAAAGACAGAAGGUCCAGACAUGGUUAUACGUUUUCUAGGUAUUCAACUAGACUUGGUAAACAAGUCCCCGACACUCUAGACUGAUGCUGCGGCUAAUUCGGGUUUCACAGACAUCUGUGGCAAGUAAUUGCUCUGGGGUCCUGGGACUAAUGAAGUUAAGUCCCUAACAAGUUUUCCAAAACAUCAGCCUUAUUCGAGCCUUACCCAAUAGUGGUGGCAGCAAUUGCCUGGGGUCCUGGAUGGGCAGGUCACUCGGUCAGAUGCUUCUCAGACAACCUAGCUGUCUGCCACAUGAUAAACAAAGACCGGCAUCAUUUUGGUUGUUACGAGGUUUUGAGGAGACUCACUUGGGUGGCGGCCAAUUAUCAGUUUUCCUCACGUAUUUUCACAUCCCGGGAGUCACUAAGGUAUCGGCUGAUCACCUGUCUCGUCUCCACUUGUGGGUAUUUCACGAUACUCUGCCCACCGCUUUCCAUCUGGCUACUCCUGCCCAUCCAUUCAGAGACAUAUUAAUGAGUUAAAUGUUUUAUUAUCACAUGCACUGAAUCUUACCCACCUAGUGGUUAACACUAGGAAAUCAUACAAUAGGGCAUUUCAUCAAAUUCAAACAGAUGUAAUUUACCUUAAAUAAUUGUAUCUCAAUCUCUAAAUUGAACUUUAAUCACAUACAGGAGGCUCUUGCAGUGUCUAGCAAGCUAUUAACAUAGCAGGGGAUAAGAAAAUCUUAAUUAAACAGAACUUGCAAUAAAGAAAGCCUAAAUAGGGCUCUCUUUACAGGAAGUGUUUAUGGAAGGCUGUGCAAGUCACAUGCAGGGAGGUGUGACUAGGGUUCAUAAACAAAGGGAUUUAACUCCUAAAUAUUAGAGGAUUGAGCAGUGAGGCUACAGGGGCAUGUUCUAUACACCAAAACUGCUUCAUUAAGCUAAAGUUAUUCAGGUGACUAUAGUGUCCCUUUAACACUAUCAAACUCUACCUAACAUUCAACAUCACAUGCUGAUACAACACCCUCACUAAACAGGAGUCCUAUCAUCCCACCAAAUUAAAAUUUACUGAAAAAUCUGACACAUUACCCUCUAAGAGACUAUCCAUUCCAUAGCAAACUUUUCCAAUCACAAUCUGAUUCAUUAGUCAUGUCACCAAUAUGGUAAUUAAAACCGCCAUAUACCUAGCUUUUCAAGGAUUCCUAUGACCAAGAGAGUUCACCACUAUUUAAUAUACUUCCACAGAUUACCUUUAAACUUUAAAUAUCCAUAAAUCUAUAGAUCACUAAAUCCUUUCACUUCCCCACUCUAAACCAGCCAGAUGGGAAGCCAGGUCAACAUAACCUUCUACCCUAUCUAUAACAAAUGGUGCCCAGUUAAGGUUUUGGAUAAAUAUUUCAGCACCAUUCACAAACAACCAUACCAACCAAUACUAGAAUUGCACGGUUCCACACUCACUACUGCCAAAUUUAUGCUUUAUGUUCGUGUGCUUUUGACAAGACUUGGCCUUAAUCAAACUCACUACUCAGGCCACUCUUUCCGCGUAGGGGCAUCCUCUCACCACUUUCCAGCACAUAUCAUCAAGGCAAUGGGACACUGGAAAUCAUCCAUUUAUACAUUAUAUAUCCAUGAACUGUUUGAAGGGAUUAGUCAGGCAUUUCGUUACUGAUCCAAGUAAUUUUUAGGUAUUGUAGAAUGAAUACAUUUUGUAUGGUACACUUCUUUUUGCCCUCUUUAUUAAAAGCCUACUGCAUUGUUGGGUCUGGCACCCCAAAACCGACUGGUGUUAUUAUGAGGUUUAUUACUAAUUAUGCGUUAUCUAACCAUUACGGCAAUACACACUAACACACAGGCACACACAGGUAUACACACAUAGACACACGUGAAUCUCCCUGCUCUAACCUCCUCCAUCCAACGUCACAGCAGUCCUCUCAGGGUCCAAUCACAGACAUCUCAUAGAGAAGCCUUUCUAACAGCUAGAUCUCUUUUCUGCCUGUACCUCACUGUAACAUACCUAGGCAGUAUGAGUCCGUAACUUUGUUAUUUUGCAAAUCAUGUUUAGUAAGUAACCAACUUAUAGAUUCUACCCCAAGAUACAUCUAUUUUAGUUGAAAAGCUGGUGCACAUUGACUUCUUAAAGGGACAUUCUAAGCACCACAGUCACUAUAGCAUGCUGUAUUUGGUAUGGUAAUGCGGAAGUAUGACAACUUCCCUUUGGGUCAUGCUGUAGCUGUAAUGGCAUUUGGAGUAUCCUUACAAAAGGAACAAUUAUGAUGUCAGGAGUGCCCUCCAUUGUACGGAGUCAAACUGUUUUAGAACGGUUUGAAUUCUUACCUUUGGUCUGCAGAGCACUACUUUCGUAAGAGGCGAAAACUCUUUCUGAGCUAAGCUCAUUGGCUAAACCCGGUUAGUUGAGGAGAGCUAACAGAAAAUACUGCUUAUGAGAUAUUACUUUCCAUAGGACAUCAUGGAGGUAACAAGUAAAACAAUUCUAAAGGUGGUUUACUACUUACAGUGGGAGAUUCCAAAGCACUCCUUGCACCAUAACUACUAAAGCGCCAUGUGGUGAUUAUGAUGCUUGUAGUGUUUCUUUAAUGAAUAGUGACGUGUCAGAUACUUUUUAUCUGCUGUUCUAACACUACUCAUGCAACUUAGAGAUUCAUCAAAAAGUAGUGUAUAUCACCUAAUGAAAGCUUGUCAUUUAUGUAUCUUAAACAAUAAUUGUGUAUUUAAAAAGGCUUGAGACAGAAUCAUAAAAAAUAAUUUAAAAUGUAUAAUUUAUAAUAAUAAUUUUCAGAAAAAACAAAACACAACAUAAAAAACAACUCAAGGGAGAGCAACAAACAGAGUUUAUUAUUAACAGCAUGAAAUCCAUAAUUUAGUCUCAUUCCCCAUUGUAUUUAAGUAUCACCUUCACACAUCGAGUUUAAAUGUUAAGAUAAGGCAAGGAAAGAGAGAAACCAUGUAAUUAAUAACCAUAAUUAAAGAUUUUUUUUUCUUUUACUCAUUUAUAUAUAUAUGUAUAUAUAAAGUGCAUAAACUUACAAUCUAGACAAUCUAAAAAAUACAUUUUCUUUUUGCACAAUACAUUUAAUAUACAUACACUUACAACUAUUUUAUACAUUAAACACAGCAAGUUUAACAAGCUGCCCUAGCUUGACAUCAUUUGAAAUUAUUUGUUUGCAAAGAAACGAUAAUUACUUAAGAAUCACAUAUUUACUAAACCAUUAUAUAUAUAUUUCAUGAGAACAUUUAUAUAAGUAAGUAUAAACCUUUAUGAGUGAUUGUUUUGAUUUAAUGUAGGAAUUGUGUUAUCUGUGUCUGUAGACCUUCGUAUGAACAUAGUUAUGUGAGGUGCAUUACAUUAAAGAAAAUACCCAUCUAAACUUUUCCUAAAAUACUAACGUAAAACAAUGAAGAUAUACAUUUUUUUGCUUUCUAAUAGCCAAGUAGAAGAGAAGAGGAGCACAAAGCGUAACACCUACCAUGCAUAAAGACGGCGGUGAAGGAACGAAGGAAAAGCAAAUCUAUUUUACAUUGAAUACACCAUGUAUCUUUUCAAAAACAGAAUAUUCAAGAAUAUCAUUUUUCAAUGUGGGGUAAUAGCUGCUUGAUCCAAGGAUAAAUCUGACUGCCAUUCUGGGGUCAAGAAGGAAUUUUUUUCUCCUAAAUUGUUGCAAAAUUGGAAGUGCUUCAAACAGUUUUUUUUUUACCUUCUUUUGGAUCAACAGCAAAAAACAAAUGUGAGGAAGGCUGAACUUGAUGGACGCAAGUCUCUUCAGCUAUGUAACUAUGAUAUAUGGUCCAUUCAAUUUAUAUAUAUUUAAGCAAUUUAAGGUGAUUUAAUGUAUUCAUAACAGGUUCACCUUAAAUAUUUGGGUACCUGCAUUCACCUGUCAAUCAAAAGGAUUGAGGAAAAAAGACGAGCAGUAAAACACUUGUAAAUGCCUUUUUUCUGCUCACCAUUACGGUGCUCUCUUUUCAAAACUUCCCUGAGGAAUAUAGGAAUGGAGUAACACAUUUCACUCUGAUCCAAUAACAAUGCGCAGGCACUGUAGCCAUCAUGCUAGUGUCAUGGAAGAGGAAUAUCUUGCUUGAAGAUGUGUGUUACAUUACUGUAACCCCUAUGAAUCUGCAGUGAUGGUGGCACUGUAUAUAGCAUAUAUUUAUGGCUCUAGGAGCAGUUAUAGAAUCAGGUUAACCUGUUUUUACAGACUCACUAUAAUGAGAUCACCAUUAACACAUAUGCACUACCAACUCUUUUAUUGCUAGAAUACCUAUUUUUUUUAAAUAUUAAUUUUGUUUAUUAAAAGGCAAAAGAGACACAUUUAUUUUGUGCACACAUAAUUGGCUAUAUAUGUCUUGAUAAUGUAAGAGACAAUAUAUUUAACUUCUUUAUCGUAGAAUAUAGGGCUGUUAAGGUACUUUAUCAAAUUCCAUGCAAAGUAGGAUAAUGCACAAAUGAUUAGCAAUGGAAGCUGUUUGUUUAUUUUUGUUUUUGUUUAAUUUACCAGCUUAUAUUACCAGUUUAAAAUAAUAUUAAAAAAAUUACUAAUAAUAAAACUACUAAAAUUCGAGAAAAAGAAACUCAAACCAUUCACAUUAAUAAACUGAAGAUGAACAAUAUAAAUGCAACAUUUAAUUUUUUUCACAGCACAUACCUCUGGGUUAGAAGUCUUUUUAAAUAUUGAAUAAACAUAUAUCUGAUUUACUUUACUGUUAUAGCCUAUAGCUCUCAACUGUAUACAUUCACCAUGGUCCAUAAUAUAGUUUAUUAACUUUGCUUCACCUGUAAUAAAAUGUGAGAUAUUACUUUGGAAAACAUUUUUUCUGUUUUGUUCCAAUUCCGAAUCCUCAAAUUGCUCCUAGGAAUCACUAAAUCUUAAAGCUUAAAGGGACACUAGAGUCACCAAAACAACUUCAGUUUUAUGAAAGUUUUGGUGUAUAACUCAUGCCUCUGAGGUUUCACUGCUCAGUUCAAUGCCAUUUAAGAGGUAAAUCACUUUUAAAGGACCACUAUAGUGCCAGGAAAACAUACUCAUUUUCCUGGCACUAUAGUGCCCUGAGGGUGCCCCCACCCUCAGGGACCCCCUGCCGCCCGGCUCUGGAAAAGGGAAAGGGGUUAAAACUUACCUUUUUCCAGCGCUGGGCGGGGAGCUCUCUGCCUCCUCUCCUCCUGGGCUGAAUGCGCACGCGCGGCAAGAGCUGCGCGCGCAUUCAGCCCGUCGCAUAGGAAAGCAUUUACAAUGCUUUCCUAUGGACGCUUGCGUGCUCUCACUGUGAAAUCACAGUGAGAAGCACGCAAGCGCCUCUAGUGGCUGUCAAUGAGACAGCCACUAGAGGAUUAGGGGGAAGGCUUAACCCAUUCAUAAACAUAGCAGUUUCUCUGAAACAGCUAUGUUUAUAAAAAAAUGGGUUAACCCUAGAAGGACCUGGCACCCAGACCACUUCAUUAAGCUGAAGUGGUUUGGGUGCCUAGAGUGGUCCUUUAAUUCGGUCCAUGCAGCCCUAGCCACACCUCCCCUGGCUGUGAGUCACACUGCCUGCAUUAAAAAAAAUGGUUUCACUUUCAAUCAGAGGUAACUUUCUUUAUACAUUUGUAUAUCCUGCUCUCUAAAUUGAAUUUUAAUCACACACAGGAGCCUCCUGCAGGGUAUAGCAAGCUAUUAACAGUGCAAGGAAUUUAAACUUUUAAAUUGCAAUUUGCAAUAAAAGGAAGUAUAAACAUUAGAUGACUCUUUACAGGAAGUGUUAAGGAAGGCUGUGCAAGUCACAUGCAAGAAGGUGUGACUAGGGUGCAUAAACAAAGUGAUUUAACUCCUAAAUGUCAUAGAUUUGAGCAGAGAGACUGCAGGGGCAUGAUAUGUAUACUAAAACAGCAUUAUUACACUAAAGUUGUUUUGGUGCCUAUAGUGUCCCUUUAAACAUAGCAACCAACAAUUCAGGGCUAAGUUCAAAAGUGGAAUAAGAAUAUAUUAACACAGCUCUAAAAUAUAAAUUAACACCUGCAUGAAGUUUUUGAAAUGUGGAUUAUAUGAUUUUUACAUUAGUCCUAAUUAAACACCAACAAUCUAAGAGUUAGGAAAUUCUCAGUUAUGUUCCUUUGGGGAUUACGGAGAACACUUGGAAUGUUGGUGUAUCUUGAAGUAUGUGUUGUAAACACGGUGCAUGGUGAUUGCAAUUGCCUUUAGUAGUUGGUUGUCAUUUUCUUCAUAAGUUCUGAGUUUUCUUAAAUUAGUUACAAAACCUUACAUUCGAAGAAAUAUGCAAUAUUUAUGUUUCCAGAAUUAGGCUGCCCCCAAGUGGCUAAAAAUGGCAUGUACACUAAGGUUUCACAGUCUGUAAAAGAAUAUCCUCUAACAAAACAAUCAUAUUAAAUAUAUUACCACUGAAACAAAUAGAUAUCCAUGUAAAUUCAAAGGAAAAAUGUCUGUAAAUCAUAACAUCUUAGUUCAGUGAGAGUGCUCACUUGUUUAAUUCAAAAAGGCCAAAAAUAAACAUCAGUUUGCAGACAACCUUUGAUUUUGGAUGUCAGUUUUAAGGGGAUGUAUAUUAGGCACUUACAAAAUCAAAGAAUCGUUGGUAUAAUUACCAUCAUCAUAUUAUUGCUAUGUCAGCUUGUUUAGGUAGGGUGUUCUUUAUUUCUUGUCAGUUAAUUAUUGUCAAAUAUCCCCAUUCUAUAUUUGGAAAAUGCUGUAGUAAAUGUUACAACUAGAUAAAUAGUAAUAAUAACAUUGUUCCUUCAGUAACAAUAAGCUCCUGCAUCCUGCAUCCAUUAAUUUUAUCAUUAAAUCAAGACUACAAAAAGUGAAAUAUAUAUUGAAAAUCCUAUGCCCAAGGUAUCUUUAUUACAGGGAUACAAAAAAACAAUAUAUGUGUGCACAAACCACAGUGCAAUAAGUGCUCGGUAAAUAAUUAGCAGAAAAAAACCCUUCCUGAACCAGGUAGGACUUCCCCAAAGACUUCCUCUUGUCUUCAAUGGAAUGUAUACAGAUUAGCAGAUUAUCCCCUAUUUUUCUGUAUAUCUUUAUUACAGGGUAAGAAUUUUAAUAUUAUGUUUUCUAUGUUUACUUAUUCCUUAGUUAAUAAAUUUGUAAUUGUGAGCUGUGGAAAAUAAAAAGAAUUGUAGACAUCCUCACCACUUAUAUACUAUAUUCCCACUGGUGGCCUCCAUCUUAACUCCCUGUCAGCCAUUGGUGUAAGUGCUCUCUUUUGUACCUGGUAGUCAGCAUAGAUAAAGAAUACAAAGAGGAGAAAUUAAAUAAUAUUUAUACUCUUAAUUUGAGUUUACUCUGGUUGUGUCUAGAAUAAACUGAAUUGUGUUUUUUUUUGACAAAAACAAAAGCAUCACAGGGGAAAACAUUGAGCUAAUACACACUAUGGGUGCUUUUGAUGUUUUCGUCAUUGGUGUAGUUUUCACAGAAAUGACAGUUCCUCGUUUAGACACAUACUUGAGAAACCAUAUUUUAAGCACUAGAAUAUGUACUAGAUUGAAGACCACAUAUUUGUCAUUUCAAAAAAAAUAAGUAUAAUGGUUACCAUGGUACUCUGCAUCUGCUGUAUCCUUGUGUUUCUACAAUGAAAUUAAUUUAUACCAAAAAAUAGGUCAAAUGUCUGUUUUUCAAAUGUUGUGCUGUUUAUACUCAUUCCCUUUGGUGGUUAUGAACAAGAAGCAUAUGGAAUAUGUGUAUUACCUAUACACAUAGUAGUGUAUGUGAAGCACAAGGAGUUUUUUUUUAAAUGAAAUAAUGUGGUAUGCCAUCAAAAUGGAAUCUAUAAGUCAUGUUUGUUCAACAAGUAAGCUCAAAUAUAUAUGAUGAAGCUGGAACAAGUUAUUUUUCACCAGUUAGCAUUAGAGAUGUCGCAAACUGUCCGCCGAACUGUUCGCGAACUGUCCGCCGGCGAACAAUAGCGUGUUCGCGUUGGGCGAACAUAUCCGAUUUCUGGUCCGCCCCCUAUACGUCAUCAUUGAGUAAACUUUGACCCGGAACCUUACAGUCAGCAGACACUUCCUGGGAGGGAGGGUCUGCUGCUGAUUGGGUGGAAUGUGUCUGCUGGCUGUGAGGUUCCGGGUCAAAGUUUACUCAAUGAUGACGUAUAGGGGCGGACCGGAAAUCGGAUAUGUUCGCCCAACGCGAACACGCUAUUGUUCGCCGGCGGACAGUUCGCGAACAGUUCGGCGGACAGUUCGCGACAUCUCUAGUUAGCAUUAGCCACAUUUUCUCAAUAUAUGCAAAAGCACUCUGUGAGCCAUGACAUUAUAUUGAGUAGGUUUACAGUAUGCAAUGAAUAUACUAUCACAAUGAAGUGUUCUGGGGGCAGUGGUCCUGUAGUUUUAACUCUGCUAUGUAAAACAUUGCAGCUUUGUAGAAACUGCAAUGUUUUUUAUUGCAGGGUUGAAUACACUUCUUGUGGCUGUCUUCCAGACAGUCACUAGAGUCCCUUCUGCAGCAAUGACCGCGUUUGUCAGGUGACCAAAUGUACCUAAUUAACUGAGAAUUGGAUCUGUGCGUGGUGCUCAUUUAUUUCCCAAUAAGGAAAUAAAUGUAAGGAAAACCUUUUUUAAUCUCAUUUUUAUUACACAUGGGGAACCUACUGAUCUAAAUGGACAGGGGUACUAUAGUGUUAGGAAUACAGGUUUGUACUUGUAAUGCUAGUUUUCCUUUAAGGUAACCUUUUAAAGUGCUUUGAACGUUUGCAGUUUACUGAAAAUCCAAUUAUGAAGAAUAAGCUAUACUGAGUACAUAUUUCCAUUAAACUAAUUUCAAAAUACACUAAACUGAUGUUUGUUUUUUUCUAACACAAUAUUUGACUAACCCUAAUGCUUUCUUGUAUAACGAGCAUAUUUUUUAGGAUUAAUACAAGGUAGAAAAUUGUCCUUUAGUGUCCACCUUGCUGUCGGAGAACAAACUAUGGUGCAACUGAUCUGAAUCUGGUGUGCGGUGGCAAGAAAAAUGGUCAGUUGAUCACCAUAGACAGCAUAACCAAAAAAAAACAGAAAAAAAUGAGUAAAAAUUAAUCGAAGCACUGAAACUGGAAGGCAAAUCAUGUGAAGGCUCAGCUGCUUAGUUGAGCCCUAAAAAACAUAAAUUAGGAAUUAACUCAAGCAAAGGAAAAACUGGCAAUUUAAAAUGUCUACCCCCCCCCCCCAAAAAAAAAGUUAAACAAAUGAAAAAAGGGAUUUUUUUUUUCUCUUGCAAAUUAGGUUUCUGUCUUCAGAGGGCGCUCUAUACUAAAGAACAUUGGAAGAUCAUUGCCCGAACAAUGUAUAUUUGUCUUGCAAUUCAUGGCUGUUUAUUAUCUUUGGUAGAUGUUUUUGUUUAUUUAUGAAUCAGAGAAUCCAAUGAUGAAAGUAUGCAAAUAUAGCAAAUCUUAGUGUAAAUAUGUAAACUAACUUAGGGGCAUCUAGGAUACAAGAUAUGACUGCUGACAGUGCACUCUCUGGAUAAUCUCCUUUAUAAAGGAACAGAUGUCACCAACCACAGUCCAAUCCACGACAAUCAAGCUCAAUCAUGUUCACAUGAAUGGAACAAUUCUGUAACUUUAAGGUGCAUUAAUUAAAUAGCAAUACAAACAUUACUGAAUUGGAGAAGUAACUAUUCAAAUCUAACCAUUGAAGUUGUGCUAGAUAGUAUUACAUUUCUUCUAAGCCACUUUUUUUUUGAUAAGAAGUAGAAGUAUUAGCCUCAGAAAUAAGGUUAGGCAAUGGGUGUGCACUUUGUGGCCAGAUAUGUAAAUUUACACAUGUCCUGAUAGGAAAAUUUUCAUCCUAGGUAUUCGUUAUGUACUAUUCCUCAUUGACAGUUUGUCCAUUAUGAUUAUUAAAAAAGGACACCGAUUACUCACAGUUAUUAGCUAAAUGAGUUCGAUUUUGCACAAAAAGAUGCAGAACUACAAAAUAUAUUGAAGAUCUUACUUUUUCAGUUAAAAAAAUAAUUAAUAUUAUUUGAAAAAUUAUAGCUUAAAAAUAUGGGAAUGUACAAAUGUGAACAUAAAAUAUACAAAAAGUAUAUUUUUGUUGAGAAAUAACAGAAAGUAACCUAAAAUAAAUAAUAACGCAACACUUUCUUGAUGUGGAAAAUAAAAGGGACAUUCCUGUAGCCAAUCAUAACGUUUUUGGCUUCUAGGACAUUAAGAAAAUGCCCGCUCCUCUCCAAAAAAUUGCAAGAAAAGAUAUGAAUGUUCCAGCAUCUGAAAAUGUAAGGUGACAAUCCAUAAUACUUCCCUUUGUCACAAUCACGAAUUUUAUGUGGCCAAUUAUUGAAUUACCUUACAUAAGACAAAGAAGUCCCAGGUUAUGGUGAAAUUCAUUUUUUAAUUUUAAAGAGAUCUACACUAUAACUUAAAAUGAAGAUAUGAGGAAAUUCAAGAAAAAAAAAGUGAAGUCACUCCUGGAGUUUCUUGUACAUAACUAAACUACUAAAAAAUAUAUUUUUUACUAUUUAAAAAAUAAUUUUCCUUUAGGAAUAUUUGUGGGUGAACUACAUUUUUUGAAUGUUAAAAUUUAAGGAUUCAAG